GGCCCCGCCCAGAGGCAGCUCCCCUCAGAGCGGGCAGCGCUCUCUUGAGGCCGUGGACUGCACGGUAUAACGCGCAGCCCUUAUUUGUUACGGUCUCUAACAGGCGGGCAUAGGGGUCUGCUUCACCGAAGAGCGGGGCCUCGGGCGGGGCUGUUGCAGUAGCCGGCCCCGUCGCGGCCCUCCCCGCGCCUCUUCAGAGGUGCCUGUGGGCCGUUGCCAGAGGGCCGGGGAAAGCGUCUGGAAUUGAAAAAGCGCGCCUCAGACAUUCCGGGUCCCCAGCCUUCAAGGUGUUUGCAGCUCUGCACUAAGGAAGGACUGGAAGGACUGGAAGUGCACUGUGCCAGCAGCAGCAGACUGUUCAUCAUCACCGGAGUUGUGGUGAAUGGAGUUAAAUCCAGUUGGUGGCCAGUCACAAGCGGUGUUCCCUGGGGCUCAGUAUUGGCGCCUCUUCCAUUGAGUGUCUUUAUCAAUGAUCUGGACAAGGGGAUCGAGUGCACCCCUGGUAAGUUUGCAGGCAACACCAAGUUGGGUGGGAGUGUUGAUCUGCUUGAGGGUAGGAUGGUUGUACAUAGGGAUCUGGACAGGCUGGAUUGAUAGGUCAAGACCGAUGGGAUGAGGUUCAACAAGGCCAAGUGCUGGGUCCUGCACUUGGGUCACAACAACCCCCUGCAGCGCUACAGGCUGGG
rnacentral:lncRNA from 1 species